rfam:Otolemur garnettii contig175855, whole genome shotgun sequence.
AUUGCUUGAGUACAGUAACAUAAAGUACAUUGAAUAAAUGCAGUCUUGUCCUAGGCAGCCUGACCCUAUACUAAAAGAAAUUCCCAGGAGAAGUCCUUGGGUUUUGAAUUUGCAGUAACAGGUAUGAAUAUUCUAGCUCAGUUUGAUGAUCAUUUAUGAUGCUGAAAACAGGA